UUAAGCGACUAAGCGUACACGGUGGAUGCCUAGGCAGUCAGAGGCGAUGAAGGGCGUGCUAAUCUGCGAAAAGCGUCGGUAAGGUGAUAUGAACCGUUACAACCGACGAUACCCGAAUGGGGAAACCCAGUGCAAUUCGUUGCACUAUUGCAUGGUGAAUACAUAGCCAUGCAAGGCGAACCGGGGGAACUGAAACAUCUAAGUACCCCGAGGAAAAGAAAUCAACCGAGAUUCCCCCAGUAGCGGCGAGCGAACGGGGAGGAGCCCAGAACCUGAAUCAGCGUAUGUGUUAGUGGAAGCGUCUGGAAAGUCGCACGGUACAGGGUGAUAGUCCCGUACACAAAAAUGCAUAUGUUGUGAGUUCGAUGAGUAGGGCGGGACACGUGACAUCCUGUCUGAAUAUGGGGGGACCAUCCUCCAAGGCUAAAUACUCCUGACUGACCGAUAGUGAACCAGUACCGUGAGGGAAAGGCGAAAAGAACCCCGGCGAGGGGAGUGAAAUAGAACCUGAAACCGUGUACGUACAAGCAGUGGGAGCACCUUCGUGGUGUGACUGCGUACCUUUUGUAUAAUGGGUCAGCGACUUAUAUUUUGUAGCAAGGUUAACCGAAUAGGGGAGCCGUAGGGAAACCGAGUCUUAACUGGGCGAAUAGUUGCAAGGUAUAGACCCGAAACCCGGUGAUCUAGCCAUGGGCAGGUUGAAGGUUGGGUAACACUAACUGGAGGACCGAACCGACUAAUGUUGAAAAAUUAGCGGAUGACUUGUGGCUGGGGGUGAAAGGCCAAUCAAACCGGGAGAUAGCUGGUUCUCCCCGAAAGCUAUUUAGGUAGCGCCUCGUGAACUCAUCUUCGGGGGUAGAGCACUGUUUCGGCUAGGGGGUCAUCCCGACUUACCAAACCGAUGCAAACUCCGAAUACCGAAGAAUGUUAUCACGGGAGACACACGGCGGGUGCUAACGUCCGUCGUGAAGAGGGAAACAACCCAGACCGCCAGCUAAGGUCCCAAAGUCAUGGUUAAGUGGGAAACGAUGUGGGAAGGCAUAGACAGCCAGGAUGUUGGCUUAGAAGCAGCCAUCAUUUAAAGAAAGCGUAAUAGCUCACUGGUCGAGUCGGCCUGCGCGGAAGAUGUAACGGGGCUAAACCAUGCACCGAAGCUGCGGCAGCGACACUUAGGUGUUGUUGGGUAGGGGAGCGUUCUGUAAGCCGUUGAAGGUGACCUGUGAGGGUUGCUGGAGGUAUCAGAAGUGCGAAUGCUGACAUAAGUAACGAUAAUGCGGGUGAAAAACCCGCACGCCGGAAGACCAAGGGUUCCUGUCCAACGUUAAUCGGGGCAGGGUGAGUCGACCCCUAAGGCGAGGCUGAAAAGCGUAGUCGAUGGGAAACAGGUUAAUAUUCCUGUACUUGGUGUUACUGCGAAGGGGGGACGGAGAAGGCUAGGCUAGCCGGGCGACGGUUGUCCCGGUUUAAGCAUGUAGGCGGAGUGACUUGGUAAAUCCGGUUGCUUAUCAACGCUGAGGUGUGAUGACGAGCCACUACGGUGGUGAAGUAGUUGAUGCCAAGCUUCCAGGAAAAGCCUCUAAGCAUCAGGUAACAUUAAAUCGUACCCCAAACCGACACAGGUGGUCAGGUAGAGAAUACUCAGGCGCUUGAGAGAACUCGGGUGAAGGAACUAGGCAAAAUGGUGCCGUAACUUCGGGAGAAGGCACGCUGGCAUUAGGUAAAGAGACUUGCUCUCGGCGCCGAAGCCAGUCGCAGAUACCAGCUGGCUGCAACUGUUUAAUAAAAACACAGCACUGUGCAAACACGAAAGUGGACGUAUACGGUGUGACGCCUGCCCGGUGCUGGAAGGUUAAUUGAUGGGGUCAGCCGCAAGGCGAAGCUCUUGAUCGAAGCCCCAGUAAACGGCGGCCGUAACUAUAACGGUCCUAAGGUAGCGAAAUUCCUUGUCGGGUAAGUUCCGACCUGCACGAAUGGCGUAAUGAUGGCCAGGCUGUCUCCACCCGAGACUCAGUGAAAUUGAACUCGCUGUGAAGAUGCAGUGUACCCGCGGCAAGACGGAAAGACCCCGUGAACCUUUACUAUAGCUUGACACUGAACAUUGAGCCUUGAUGUGUAGGAUAGGUGGGAGGCAUUGAAGUGUGGACGCCAGUCUGCAUGGAGCCAACCUUGAAAUACCACCCUUUAAUGUUUGAUGUUCUAACUCGGCCCCAUAAUCUGGGGUGAGGACAGUGUCUGGUGGGUAGUUUGACUGGGGCGGUCUCCUCCCAAAGAGUAACGGAGGAGCACGAAGGUUAGCUAAUCACGGUCGGACAUCGUGAGGUUAGUGCAAAGGCAUAAGCUAGCUUGACUGCGAGAGUGACGGCUCGAGCAGGUACGAAAGUAGGUCUUAGUGAUCCGGUGGUUCUGAAUGGAAGGGCCAUCGCUCAACGGAUAAAAGGUACUCCGGGGAUAACAGGCUGAUACCGCCCAAGAGUUCAUAUCGACGGCGGUGUUUGGCACCUCGAUGUCGGCUCAUCACAUCCUGGGGCUGAAGUAGGUCCCAAGGGUAUGGCUGUUCGCCAUUUAAAGUGGUACGCGAGCUGGGUUUAGAACGUCGUGAGACAGUUCGGUCCCUAUCUGCCGUGGGCGUUGGAAGAUUGAGAGGGGCUGCUCCUAGUACGAGAGGACCGGAGUGGACGAAUCACUGGUGUUCGGGUUGUCAUGCCAAUGGCAUUGCCCGGUAGCUAAAUUCGGAAGAGAUAACCGCUGAAAGCAUCUAAGCGGGAAACUUGCCUCGAGAUGAGUCUUCCCUGGGGCUUUAAGCCCCCUGAAGGAACGUUAAAGACUAUGACGUUGAUAGGCUGGGUGUGUAAGUGCAGCGAUGCAUUGAGCUAACCAGUACUAAUGAUCCGUGAGGCUUAACCUU
rnacentral:rRNA from 1 species